CCCUUAGAUGUUCUGGGCCGCACGCGCGCUACACUGAUGAACGCAACGAGACGACCUGUACCGAAAGGCAUGGGUAAACUUGUGAAAGUUCAUCGUGAUGGGGAUAGAUUAUUGCAAUUAUUAAUCUUCAACGAGGAAUUCCUAGUAAGCGCGAGUCAUCAGCUCGCGUUGAUUACGUCCCUGCCCUUUGUACACACCGCCCGUCGCUCCUACCGAUUGAAUGGUCCGGUGAAAUCUUCGGAUUGCUGGAUAGGAGGGCAACCACCUAUCUGCGAGAAGUUGCUUGAACCUUAUCAUUUAGAGGAAGGAGAAGUCGUANCA
rnacentral:rRNA from 1 species